AAAUUUUUUAGUAUACCCCUGUAUAUCUAGCUUCCAACUAGAAGGUCUAACAUGUUAGAAAAAUU
rnacentral:tRNA from 1 species